ensembl:lncRNA
CAUCCUCUUGGCCAUCUCUGUGUUGCUGCUCAUCCUCCACGACAUCCUACCCUCCACAGACCAGAAAACACCUCUCAUAGGGACGUUCUGCACUGGGGUGUUCAUGUUUGUGGGCUGCAGCAUCGUGGAGACCAUCACAGUCAGCUUCCUGAUGCGGCUGGCCUCAAAGUGGGACACACACACACGCACGCCAGCUGGGAGCGGAGGAGUUGGUCUCUCCAUGGAGGAGAAGGAGGAGGAGAAGAAGGAGGAGAAGAAGGAGGAGGAGGAGGAGGAGGAGGGUAAGCCGUCCGGGUCUCAGUUGUGUCUCAUCCUGCGAGAGCUGCGGGCGUUGCGACUGCACGUCUGCCCUGGUCACCGAGAGCAUCCUGGGAAGACUGGCCUGUACCUGAAGACAGCAGCCAAGUGCAUCAACGCCGUCUACUUCCUGCUAUACAUCUGUGCGGUCGCUGUGUUCCUAGCGGAGAUCGCUAAAGAGUGGCUUCACUAGCUGCAUGUGGGAAUGAAUCACAGCAGGUGGCUAAAAAUAAACAAAUCCACAAUCCUGAUGUAGAAAACAACAAGUAGAGCAAGAUGAAGGCCAUGGGUUUUUAGUCUGAUAUACUGUAAUCCUGUACUGUGUGUGUAAUCCUGUACUGUGUGUGUAAUCCUGUACUGUGUUUUAAUCCUGUACUGUGUGUGUAAUCCUGUACUGUGUGUGUAAUCCUGUACUGUGUGUGUAACCCUGUAGUUUAAUCCUGCACUGUGUGUGUAAUCCUGUACUGUAAUCCUGUACUGUAAUCCUGUAAGAGCGUGACCUUUCAGGGUUAUUUCAAUCAAUAUUUUUGUUUGUGAUUGAAUAUGAAGUUGCAACUUCUAACUGUUUUGAUCAGUCUGCAGACCUUAUUCGUAAUUGGCAAUCGCGAUGACAUCGUUGAUUUUUUCAAUAGGGUGCUGCGCUGCGUUCAAUGCCUACAGCAAGACCCAGGAGAGGAGAGAUUUUUUAGAGAGCUUGAUGACCACACCAUUACCCUAAAUUCUAUGUUGUCUAUGGUUCAUUCUAGGGAAGGACCUGAUGGAGAGACUGUUGUUUUUUUUGGAGUCGAUAUGUUUUUGUUUUAAUAGGUUUGGUAACUUUAGAACUAGAAGAAGAGAUCAAGAAAACUGCCCUCCUCCUGUUCCACCUACAGCCAGAAAUGGCCUUCCAUGUCGCCCAC